rnacentral:lncRNA from 1 species
CAUGUAUGGAUGGCCCCCUUUCCCUUUGGCUCCGCCCUGCCCGGUAUGCAUGUAUGGCUGCAACCAUUGCCAGGCGACGCCGAUCGCACAGCCGACAAUAAGUGAGUUGGUUCGAGUUAUAUAUGGUUGAUGGAACAUCGAAACAUGGGCUUUUCAGUCGAGAAAAAGCGAAAUGGCUCUCACGUGCACACCCUCUUGGAAUGAAUAAUAAAUAUGAACCAAAUACUAGAACAUGGAGAAUAAAUCUCUAAACCAUGCAAAUGUAGAAAUUACGUCAGUUGUAUGCACGUAUAUUUUAUUAAAAAUGGUGUGAUUGCACCCUGAAAAUGAAAAAAAAAUAAGUACUCCAAAAUAUGUCAAAUUAUAAGCACAAAACUUUGUGUUUUUACAUCGUCGGCAAUAACUAUCUCUUUUAUGAAAAUACAUACAUAGAGAUGGACCGAGCGGGUAUUUCGCAUGUCAAGGGUAG